rnacentral:lncRNA from 1 species
CAGGAAUGCAUGAAGGAAAAGACAGUGCCUGGAUUUCCUGGCACCGUUCAGGCAUGGGAUGCAUAUUUUGUGUUCCCUUCUAAUUGCAUUUCUAGAUGUAAGUCUCUGAUCCCCACAAGCCUUGUCAGUUCAGAUCCAGGGGUGGUUUCUUGUGCUGAGUAUAAGAGUAUGAUUGACCGUAGGAUGCAUAGAAUUUUUGGUUUGGGGACUUUCAGCAGAAAUGUGCAACUCAAGCCUGCAGCUUUGAGUUCCUGAGGCCAAAGCUGUUGUCAGGCAUUUGGGAAGGGGAGCAAGUACAAAGGUGGUAGAUAAGUUGGGAUGGAUCUUUCUGGAUCAAGUGCAUCUUCAUGGAGCAGGAGGGGCACCUUCUCAGUGCCAGCACUUCUCUGUUGAUGGAAGCUGCAUCAGGCAGUUGGAGAGAGAGACGAACUGAGAAGUGUGGAGGAGUUCCACUACCAUUCCCUUCCUCCCAGCUUAUUCCUCCAUACAAAUUGAUCGUUUCUAAUUCACCAUAUUUCCCAUAUAAAAGUACAAGAUGAGAGUUAGCAUAGUUUCAUAUAUGUGGCCCAUUUUACACAAAAAUUAUUUUACUUUUCACACAUUUAAUUAUGUGGUACUAUUAUUUUAUUGGGGAGAAGAUUUCCUUGAUUUGGGUCUGAAGUUAACCCCAGUAUUUUACGGCUUGAGAAGUGGAAGAAAAGGAGUCUGGAAUUUGGCAAAGAGUUAAGAUCUCGGAGGUGAGUAAUGGCUUCAUAAAGACUGAAUUAAGAAAACAGAUGUAUCCUAGGAAGCUUUGCCCAGAUCUGAGAAAUAUGAGCAGUGCUCCCUCUCGACUGCUUUUCUGCUGGGUUACGGUCUGUCGCUGUAGGAAUUAACAGGACUCUGCAGAAACCAUCCUGCUCAACCGUCAGCACCUCUGGCCACAUGAACCUCUGGGACCUUAGGGUUGGACAUGGGCUUUGGGGGAUCCUGAAGCAGAUAUUGAGUGAUCAACAACUCAUGCUAUAAGGUGUUGAUUGAGAUGACACUUGAAGUUUCUCAGGCUUUUUAGGAUGACUUUGGAGGCAGGGAAGUAGAAUUAUACUGCUAUGAGCUGUGUACCUUGCUGGCUACAUUCCUCUUUUCAGGCUUCUAAACCCAGAUAUUAUUACUAACUAGAGAGUGUGCUCCAGAUCCUCAAAUAUUAAUUCAGGAUUUGAGGUGAGCAAUGAGAGUAGAUUUGAAGUUGCCAUUUUGGGGAAAUCAUUACAUUGUGGCUUUAUGUGAUGUAGGGCGUGAGGGGGUCUGGUAUGUUCCCAGGAUGCCUCUAGAGUCUGCACAUAGGCUUGUGCACCAAGGGGUCUUCUGCUGUUCCAGUGCUCUCCUGGCGACCUUUGUGAGACCACCUCCUUGCCCCUCAUGACAUAGAACCCUCCCCAUUCACUGAUCUUGAGCCUCCAUCUGUCUAAUCACUCUUUGAUAAAAAAAUGAGCAUGGCUUCAUGUCAAGCUGCCAUAUUCUUUCCACUCUCUUGACAGUCCUUUGGUGCCAAUUGGCUACUGAGAGCCCCAGUGACCGAUGGCGUCCUUAGGGUAGGUGCCAGUGGAAUGCAAAACACAUUGUGCAUUGUGAUGAAGGGUGGUUAAUGAAAGGGGGGAUGAAACAAGCCCAUACGGUAUUGUGGAAAGAAAAUCUAUACUAAAUGAAACAAACAAAAAAAAGUUUUCCACAAUUUAAGCCUCGAGAAUUGAUAUUAAAUUUUCCUGAGGGGUGAGGUCAGCAUUUGGAGAGCCCAGAUGCUUUAGGAAGGCUAAAUGGAAAGAACAGCAAUCUCUAAAGGGGGGAAAAGAAAGAAAGAGAGAGAGAGAAAGAAAGGAAAGAAAGAAAAAGAAGGAGGGAAGGAAAGAAGGAAGGAAGGAAAAUAAAAUGAAAGAAAGAAAGAUGAAAGAAGGAAGGAAGGAAAGAAAGAAAGAAGAAAGAAAGAAAAAGAAAGAAAGAAAAAGAAAAACAGAGCUGUGUUUCCUGUGUGCUGCUCUCCUUCAUCCAGGUCCCCAACUCCCUGAAGGGGACUAAAGCCUAGGAUAGAAUUUGGAGGAUGAGCUGUUUUGUUUUGUUCUGUUUUAUUAAAACAAAGAACAGUAUUUCAUGCUCUUGACAAGGGUGAACAGUCAUAUGACUCUGAGGUUUCAUUCCUCAGCACUAGGGAUGACCGAGGAGGUGUGAUGGGGUGGGGUGAGCAGGCAGGCCUCCGUGGGGCACUCUAUCCUAGGCCCACACCUGCUUCAUGGACCUCUCCAGGGUAUUCCUUUCUCCUAUGUCCUUCUUUUGGGUGGCUGCAUGGAAAGGGACUAUUUACAUUGUAUCAGCCUUUGCACUUCCCCACCAACCCAUCUCCCUAUACCCCACAUCAAUGCUUGUGGAUGUGAAAACACAAUUUUCUGCCAUUUCUAUGUAGAGGGAUGCUCUGACAUGCAUUUAUAGAAAUGUUCCUCUACUGUCUCUUCACAAUUAAUUAUGCUUGGAGCUUUGGAGCCGUUCAUGGGCUUCUCCAUGUGUGCUUCAAGUCAACCAACUUGGGGAUCUGCUUCAGGCCAAGUAUAUCCUGUUGGAGCAAUCCUCCUGCAGGUAACACCCACUAAAUACAGGUUGAGUUUUAUAUAUGUAAAUGCUUAAAUAUGAAUGUUGUAACUAUUUUACAUUAAUAGCAUAUUGAUGUAUUAUUUCAUAUUAAUAUCCAUAUAAUUGAUAUAGCAAUGCAAAUAUUUGAAAUGUUUUAAAUAUAUUAUUUAAUGGUAAUAAUAUGCAUAAUUUUAAAUAGAAAUAUAAGAUAAACUAUAACAGCAACUCUCUGAAGACAUUAGGGGGCAGUCAGAAACAGGCAGACACUUGGUUAUAGGGGAAUGGGACUGGGUGAGUUUCUCAUUGUUUUAUGGUUUUCAGCCUGGGGGAAGUUCCAAGUCCCUGCCAUGAAGGACAGCUUAAAUUCCAAUGGAAAAACCUGCAGCUUCACUGGCAUGAAAAACCAGAGGAUGGAGUUUGGGGCAGUCACAUGAGUUAGAAAAUGAGGGGAGAGUGCAGUCUCAGAAAGAAGAGCGUCAUGGUUGGGGGCGCCCUAAAUCCUGUCUAUAUACGCUGCCCAACUCUGACUGUCCCUGAAAUAUGCACACAGGGAAGACUGUAAGCAAUUCACCUGAGAUUGAACAGAGACUUCAGUUUCCACCAGUGCAGGGGAGACCAAGUUUGCAGUUUUUGUUCAGCCAGGCUAGCUGACUGUUUAUAUAUAUAAUAUAUGCAUGCAUACAUACAUAAGAACAUAUCACAGUUAGAAGAACAUGUCAUAAUCAAGAUUGUUUAUAAAAUUUCAUUCACACUGUCUAGGAAGUCAUCCAAAAUGAUGCAACAUAUGAAGAAACAGGAAAAUGUGAUGCACACUCAAAAGCAAAGACAAUAAACAGAGACACAGCAAACCUUGACUGAGGAUAUGACCUUUAGAAUGACUAGGAGGCUGAUUUCAAAAGUAGUAACCAAAAGGCUUAAAGACUGGCUUCAGGCCACCUGAAAGACAAAGCGUGACCUCAGGUAUGAAGGUUUGGAGUGCAGAAGUGUGAGUUUUGCUGCCAUUAGCCUCAAUUUUCAUACAAGGCUUUCAAUUUCUAAAAGCCUUACCCAGCUGGUGUCUCUGAUGAGAUGCUUAAAACAUAGUACUGCAUAAAGUGACCAGGUAGAAACGAGAAUGUUUUAAAUUGAGCCUGUCAAAAAAAUAAAUAAAUAAAUAACAUCCAUGCCUGUACCUGGUGAUAAGGAGAAGGAAGGGCACAUGGUCAGCAGGGGGUACAAAGCAAGCUUUCUGGGCUCGGAGGGAUCGUGGGCAGGCAGGCAUGUAUUUCUUGAUGGAACUCUGAGGUUCUUACUUGCACCCUUUCCUGG